AUUGAACGCUGGCGGCAGGCCUAACACAUGCAAGUCGAACGCGUGGCGGACGGGUGAGUAAUGUCUGGGAAACUGCCUGAUGGAGGGGGAUAACUAAUGGAAACGGUAGCUAAUACCGCAUACCAUCAUAUGUGCCCAGAUGGGAUUAGCGUGUUGGGGGGGUAACGGCGCACCAAGGCGACGAUCCCUAGCUGGUCUGCGAGGAUGACCAGCCACACUGGAACGUAGACACGUGCCAGACUCCUAAGGGAGGCAGCAUGGGGGAAUAUUGCACAAUGGGCGCAAGCCUGAUGCAGCCAUGCCGCGUGUAUGAAGAAGGCCGUCGGGUUGUAAAGUACUUUCAGCGGGGAGGCGUUACCCGCAGAAGAAGCACCGGCUAACUCCGUGCCAGCAGCCGCGGUAAUUC
rnacentral:rRNA from 1 species